rnacentral:rRNA from 1 species
UCUUUAUAUUGAAAUUAUUAAUUUUUAUAAGUAUUUUUAAAAUGUUAUUAAUUAAAUAUUUUAUUGGGGUAAUAUAAAGAUUUAAAUAAUUCUUUAUUUAUUUAACAAUUAAUUUUGAUAAUAUGAUCCAUUUUUAAUGAUUGUAUGAUUAAGU